UAGGGAAUCUUCGGCAAUGGACGAAAGUCUGACCGAGCAACGCCGCGUGAGUGAAGAAGGUUUUCGGAUCGUAAAACUCUGUUGUUAGAGAAGAACAAGGACGUUAGUAACUGAACGUCCCCUGACGGUAUCUAACCAGAAAGCCACGGCUAACUACGUGCCAGCAGCCGCGGUAAUACGUAGGUGGCAAGCGUUGUCCGGAUUUAUUGGGCGUAAAGCGAGCGCAGGCGGUUUCUUAAGUCUGAUGUGAAAGCCCCCGGCUCAACCGGGGAGGGUCAUUGGAAACUGGGAGACUUGAGUGCAGAAGAGGAGAGUGGAAUUCCAGGUGUAGCGGUGAAAGGCGUAGAUAUAUGGAGGAACACCAGUGGCGAAGGCGGCUCUCUGGUCUGUAACUGACGCUGAGGCACGAAAGCGUGGGGAGCAAACAGG
rnacentral:rRNA from 1 species